rnacentral:rRNA from 1 species
CAUCAGGUAACAUCAAAUCGUACCCCAAACCGACACAGGUGGUCAGGUAGAGAAUACCAAGGCGCUUGAGAGAACUCGGGUGAAGGAACUAGGCAAAAUGGUGCCGUAACUUCGGGAGAAGGCACGCUGAUAUGUAGGUGAGGUCCCUCGCGGAUGGAGCUGAAAUCAGUCGAAGAUACCAGCUGGCUGCAACUGUUUAUUAAAAACACAGCACUGUGCAAACACGAAAGUGGACGUAUACGGUGUGACGCCUGCCCGGUGCCGGAAGGUUAAUUGAUGGGGUUAGCCGCAAGGCGAAGCUCUUGAUCGAAGCCCCGGUAAACGGCGGCCGUAACUAUAACGGUCCUAAGGUAGCGAAAUUCCUUGUCGGGUAAGUUCCGACCUGCACGAAUGGCGUAAUGAUGGCCAGGCUGUCUCCACCCGAGACUCAGUGAAAUUGAACUCGCUGUGAAGAUGCAGUGUACCCGCGGCAAGACGGAAAGACCCCGUGAACCUUUACUAUAGCUUGACACUGAACAUUGAGCCUUGAUGUGUAGGAUAGGUGGGAGGCUUUGAAGUGUGGACGCCAGUCUGCAUGGAGCCGACCUUGAAAUACCACCCUUUAAUGUUUGAUGUUCUAACGUUGACCCGUAAUCCGGGUUGCGGACAGUGUCUGGUGGGUAGUUUGACUGGGGCGGUCUCCUCCUAAAGAGUAACGGAGGAGCACGAAGGUUGGCUAAUCCUGGUCGGACAUCAGGAGGUUAGUGCAAUGGCAUAAGCCAGCUUGACUGCGAGCGUGACGGCGCGAGCAGGUGCGAAAGCAGGUCAUAGUGAUCCGGUGGUUCUGAAUGGAAGGGCCAUCGCUCAACGGAUAAAAGGUACUCCGGGGAUAACAGGCUGAUACCGCCCAAGAGUUCAUAUCGACGGCGGUGUUUGGCACCUCGAUGUCGGCUCAUCACAUCCUGGGGCUGAAGUAGGUCCCAAGGGUAUGGCUGUUCGCCAUUUAAAGUGGUACGCGAGCUGGGUUUAGAACGUCGUGAGACAGUUCGGUCCCUAUCUGCCGUGGGCGCUGGAGAACUGAGGGGGGCUGCUCCUAGUACGAGAGGACCGGAGUGGACGCAUCACUGGUGUUCGGGUUGUCAUGCCAAUGGCACUGCCCGGUAGCUAAAUGCGGAAGAGAUAAGUGCUGAAAGCAUCUAAGCACGAAACUUGCCCCGAGAUGAGUUCUCCCUGACUCCUUGAGAGUCCUGAAGGAACGUUGAAGACGACGACGUUGAUAGGCCGGGUGUGUAAGCGCAGCGAUGCGUUGAGCUAACCGGUACUAAUGAACCGUGAGGCUUAACCUU